rnacentral:rRNA from 1 species
GUGCCAGCAGCCGCGGUAAUACGUAGGUGGCAAGCGUUAUCCGGAAUUAUUGGGCGUAAAGGGUGCGUAGGCGGUUUAGCAAGUCUAUGGUGAAAGUUCGGGGCUUAACUCCGGAUUGCCAUAGAAACUACUAGACUCGAGUGCAGGAGAGGGCAAUGGAAUUCCAUGUGUAGCGGUAAAAUGCGUAGAUAUAUGGAGGAACACCAGUGGCGAAGGCGGUUGCCUGGCCUGUAACUGACGCUGAAGCACGAAAGCGUGGGGAGCAAAUAGGAUUAGAAACCCGAGUAGUCC